UUUACAAUUUAUUAAUACCUUGUCCCAAAAUUGCAGUAAGAAGCUUUUACAUCACCACCAUCCCUCCAACCAACCCUAUAGCUGAGUGCACGGGGCUCCACCUGCACACAUCUAUCACCCUUUCCAUCUGAAGGAAACAGCAAACUCCAGGUGACUAAUGUAAUGGAGAUGAGCAGACAUCCUGCAAGGACAUCUAAGUGUCCUUUCCUAGCACAAAGCUACUUCCAGUGCAACAGCAGCACAAGUGCUUCUCCAGUAGCAUAAAACUGGAGGUGUUUUCUUUCAUCAUGCCUGCAUCACACGUAAAACAGUGACUGGCUGUGCUUCCCAGGGAAAGGCUCCUGCUGCAAACAGUGCAGGCGCUCACUUACGCAAACAGAAGGAAAACUCACUCUGCUGGUUUGUCCUUGGCAUGCUCUGUUCCACUCUCCACCCUCUUCCCCGGCCUCUCCUCAGCCUCUUCCAUGCCAAUGGUGUUGGCACUCACCUGCCCUCCCCACACUGGCCAUGCUGCUUCUUGAAGCAGGGCACGAGAGAAUCAGAAGCUCAGCUUUCCCUCCUGAAGUCCCCUAGCUAACAACUUCCCUGCUAAGCACUUCCCCUACUCCAUUCACACGUUGAGAUGCUGAUUUAUAUCACAUAUCUAAUCAGAUUAGCUGCAGGCAAAAGUCUCUCCUGCCUGCAUUUCCCCACAAAACCCUGUGAUUUGUCAUUGCCUCAAGUACUACAAAGUGAACUUUCAGAAGCCUUAUGCAGUCACAAGCAUAUACCUCUCUCUUCUGAGCAGUACAGAAGCCUUCAGGUGCUCCCUCACCUUCAUCCACAGCAAGCAGCCAUUGCCCUGGGGCCCUCUUCUCCUGAUGCUCACCUCAGCACAUCUCAUCCUGUGCCAUAUUCAUGGCUAGAAAAGGCACAUAAGAUCACCUAGUUCAAUCCCAACCCAUCCCCACCUAAAACAUGCCCCUAAGCACUACAUCUGCCCUCUCAGUCAAUACCUCCAGAGAUAGUGACUCCACCACCUCCCUGGGCAGCCUGCUCCAACAACUGACUGCUCUUUCUGAGAAGAAACUCUUUUUAAGACCCAGCCGGAAUCCCCCCUUGUCCUAACACUGUUACCCAGAACAUGAAGGCUCAGGGGGGGACCUCAGUGGGGCUUUCCAGUAUAUGAACAGAGCAUAUAAACAGGAGGAGAAAUAGCUGUUCGUGCGGGUGGAUAGGGACAGGACAAGGGGGAAUGGUUUUAAACUGAGAUGGGAGAUUUAGGGUGGAUAUUAGGAAGAAGUUUUUCAUACAGAGGGUGGUGAAGCACUGGAACAGGUUGCCCAAGGAGAUUGUGGAUGCCCCAUUGGCAUUCCAGGCCAGGCUGGAUGUGGCUCUAGGCAGCCUAGUCUGCUGGUUGGCAACCCUGCACAUAACAGGAGGGUUGUAAACCAGAUGAUCAACAUGGUCCUUUCAACCAAAGUCAUUCUAUAGCUCUAUGAUAAAGAGGUUGACCCCACCUCACCACAACCUCCUUUCAGAAAGCACCACACCCCCCCCCAAGACUCCUCUUUAUCACACUGAGCAAUCCCAGCUCCCUCAACC
ensembl:lncRNA